UACGGAAGGGGCAAGCGUUGUUCGAAAUCAUUGGGCGUAAAGGGCGCGCAGGUGGUUCUGUAUGUCUGCCGUGAAAGCAUACAGCUCAACUGUAUUGUGUCGGUAGAAACUGCAGGACUUGAGGCUGGGAGGGGCUGGUGGAAUUCCCUGUGUAGCGGUGAAAUGCGUAGAGAUGGGGGAGAACACUCGUGGCGAAGGCGGCCAGCUAGACCAGUUCUGACACUGAGGCGCGACAGCGUGGGGAGCAAACAGG
rnacentral:rRNA from 1 species